rnacentral:lncRNA from 1 species
UGUUUGACAGGAUCAUGAGGACUCUGACUAAUGUGAAGCACAUCCCGAAGUUGAAGAAGAAUCUAGUGAGCGGAAUGGCUAUAACUUCAUUAGCCAUGCCAGGAGUAGAAUUCUAAAUAUUUCUAAGGGAGCCAUAGUUAUGAUGAGAGGGAGGAGAUUGGAGAAUAACCUAUACAAGAUGGAGGGAUCUAUGGUGAUCGGAGAAUCUGAUACAGUGGCUGUAGCACAUGAUUAGCAGGAGGC